UACUGAAUGGCGGUGCAGGAUCGAUGGUCCGAAUGGCCUACUCCUGCACCUAUUUUCUAUGUUUCUAUCCACCAUCAACCCUUUAAAUAUCAUUUGCCAGUCUGUCUUAGCUAAUUUACGUCUCAUAUAUUCAAAGUUGCCCUUCUUUAAGUUCAGAACAUUUGGUUCUGAAUUAACUAUGUCACUCUCCAUCUUAAUGAAGAAUUCCACCAUAUUAUGGUCACUCUUAUCCAAGGGGCCUCGCAUGACAAGAUUGCUAAUUAACCCUUUCUCAUUGCUCAAUACCCAGUCUAGAAUGGCCUGCUCUAUAGUUGGUUCCUUGACAUGCUGGUUCAGAAAACCAUCCCGCACACAUUCUAAGAAAUCCUCUUCCUCAGCACCCUUACCAAUUUGGUUCACCCAAUCUAUAUGUAGAUUGAAGUCACCCAUUAUAACUGCUGUUCCUUUUUUGCACGCAUUUCUAAUUUCCGGUUUAAUGCCAUCCCCAACCUCACUACUACUGUUAGGUGGCCUGUACACAAAUCCCACCAGCAUUUUAUGCCCCUUAGUGUUACACAGCUCUCCCCAUAUCGACGGCACAUCCUCCAGGCUAAUGUCUUUCCUCUCUAUUGCGUUAAUCUCUUCUCUAACCAGCAACGCUACCCCACCUCCUUUUCUUUCCUGUCUAUCCCUCCUGAAUAUUGAAUAUCCCUGGAUGAGCUCCUAUCCUUGGUCACCCUGGAGCCAUGUCUCUGUGAUUCCAACUAUAUCAUAUUCAUUAAUAACUAUCUACACAUUCAAUUCAUCCACCUUGUUACGAAUGCUCCUUGCAUUGACACACAAAGCCUUCAGGCUUGUUUUUACAACACUUUUAGCCCUUAACCAAUUAUGUUGAAAAAUGGCCCUUUUUGAUUUUUGCCCUGGAAUUGACUGCCUGCCACUUUUACUUUUCACCUUACUACUUUUUGCUUCUGCUCUCAUUUUGCACCCCUCUGUCUCUCUGCACUUGUUCCUAUCCCCCUGCCACAUUAGCUUAAACCCUCCUGAACAGCAUUAGCAAAUGUUCCCCCUAGGAUUAGGAGGAGGGACAGCCCUCAGCGAUUCCUGUGUAUGCUCCCUGGAAGCCUCAAGAAAUGAUAAUGAUCAUGAAUCAGGCCCCAGAUAGAAAAGAAAAAACAGCACAGUUUGCUCAGUGUCUCCACAGUACUAUACAAAUGUUUAAUGCGACUCCGUAAGAUUUAUUCAGUCUCUCCUGCAUGAUUUGCUCAGGUGAUGAGGGGCGAAAAUGGAAAGCAGAAUUGAGAUACCAAACCUAUCAGGAGUUACAGGCUGGAAAACAUAAUGAGAAUGAAAAGCUGGACCAGAUCAUUCAAGCUUUGUAAAGGGCUCUCCAGCAACCUGUGAACAUCACUAAAGUACCUGAAUGCAAACCUAAGCCUGGGAAUCGGGACCAGACUAUUGAGAGUGAUUUGUGGCCUGCUACAUUCACUUCGCAGGAGACCAAGACUUUAAUGAUGGGAAUCUGUCCUCCCUGUUCAAUGCCCUACUGCUCCAAUGCUUACCAACUAAGUUAGCCAACAUGAUUAAAACAAAUAAUAUGGAUAGGCCUGACAAUGACCAAAAUCUAAUGCGACGAGCUUUGACAUAUCAUUAGGACCCAACUUUCGAAUCCCGAUCAACCCCGAAGGGAACUAAUAUUAAAGGUGAAUAUGCUCAGCGGGAAGGACGCGAGCGGGCUAUAUCUGAGGAACAGAAAUGGGAGCAAAAACCUACCAAGGGACAGGUGGGGACAACAACCCAUUUAGAAACUGACAAGAAGAUGCUUCCAACCAUGAGUGCCAACCCUCAGGAAGAGCCCAAUUUAAUAUUGCAAGUUGCUGGAACUCCAGUUCCGUUUAUAAUUGAUAUGAGGGCAACCACAACCACUCUCGAUCAGGAAAUAGUAUCGGAAAAGGGAUUCCAGCUAUCAGACGCUACAAUCACUCUGUCUGGGUUCGAAGGCACGGAACGUACCUAUUCACGUACCCAGCCACUGCAGCUGGAAUUCCAGGGGAGCCAGUGUGAGGUUUCAUUUACAGUCACCACCAGACGGGGGGUGUAAUCUAGCAGGGACAGACUUGCUCUGUCCGUUGGAAGUCGAGAUUCUUUGCACAGACAAUGCUGUCACCCUUGUCAGGAGAACAACCGACAGCUUCCCCAGUUUCCGACCCCCAAGCACUUAAUUUGGAACCCACUCCUUCUGCCAGCAGCCAACCCUCGUGUGACUCUGUGCUUUGACCCUACGGGGUGCGUCACUGAGGAAAGCCAAUAUUAUGCACCCCCCGAGGGACAUAAGUUCCUAGUCACGGUGAUUAGAGAGGUUACAGGAAGAGACGGUAUUGCAUUACUGGCCGAAUUUCCAGAUUUCCUUUGGCGACAGACAGAACUGGUAGUUCCCCAUACCACCAUUAGGAUUUGCUCUGAGUUCAAGCCAAAGAGCCCAGGGUUCCUGGCCUACACCCUAACGAAGCAAGCCUCCAGCACCGAAGGAGACUGGCAAGACUUGGCCGUGGGUCUAGUCCAAUACGGGAAGGAGUCUGAGGUGAAGAUGGGAUAUCUGGGUGACGCCUCUGAGGAGGAGUGAGAACUGUGGUCCCAGAUGGGGUGCCAGAAAGACUCCAACCUAGGUUUUUGGAUCACCUAGUGGGACAGGUAUGUAAUGUCUAAAGGACCAGUGUUUGAGUAAAUGAGACUCACCAAACUUUCUCCUGACUGAAUCAAUGGAAUCUCCGAUUCUCCUGAGGCAGUUGUUCUCUC